UACGUAGGUGACCAGCGUUGUCCGGAUUUACUGGGCGUAAAGAGCGCGCAGGCGGUCGUUCAAGUCGAGUGUGAAAGCCCCCGGCUCAACUGGGGAGGGUCACUCGAUACUGAUCGACUUGAAGGCAGGAGAGGGAAGCGGAAUUCCCGGUGUAGUGGUGAAAUGCGUAGAUAUCGGGAAGAACAUCGGUGGCGAAAGCGCUCUACUGGGCCAUAACUGACACUCAGGGACGAAAGCUAGGGGAGCGAAUGGG
rnacentral:rRNA from 1 species